AUACGGAGGGUGCGAGCGUUAAUCGGAAUUACUGGGCGUAAAGCGUACGUAGGCGGUUGGUUAAGUUGGAUGUGAAAGCCCCGGGCUUAACCUGGGAACUGCAUUUAAAACUGGCGAACUAGAGUUGAGUAGAGGGGAGUGGAAUUUCAGGUGUAGCGGUGAAAUGCGUAGAGAUCUGAAGGAACACCAGUGGCGAAGGCGACUCCCUGGACUCGAACUGACGCUGAGGUACGAAAGCGCGGGUAGCAAACGGGAUUAGAUACCCUAGUAGUCC
rnacentral:rRNA from 1 species